GAACUCCUUUUCUUGCUUCCCAUUUAAGCCAUAAAUCUCCUCUUUUCUUGCUGAAAAUUUGUAUGAAGCAACAACACAAGAAAGGGAAUCACAACGGAAAAAAGGUAGAGAAUGCAAUCUUAGAAGGAAAAGCUAAUGUAUAUAACCUAAUACGAAGAAUCCGGUCUUGGCAAGCGGCAAUCUAAAACCCUAGCAGAAUUGACAUUAGACAAGGACUGCUUAUAGACAGAAGAUGGAGAAGAAGCUUUGCCCUUGUUAUCU
rnacentral:misc_RNA from 1 species